GUCAACGAGCACUACUGCAACCGCACCGAC
rnacentral:sRNA from 1 species